CAAUGCCCGAAAGGGUGACGAAGCGACGCCGCGUGGGUGAGGAAGGCCUUCGGGUUGUAAAGCCCUGUCAGGAGUUAAGAAAUGUAGACUCGCUAAUAUCGGGUCUAUUUGACAAAGGCUCCAAAGGAAGCCACGGCUAACUCCGUGCCAGCAGCCGCGGUAAUACAGAGGUGGCAAGCGUUGUUCGGAAUUAUUGGGCGUAAAGAGCACGUAGGUGGAUUUGUAAGUCAGACGUGAAAGCCUUCUGUUCAACGGAAGAAUUGUAUCUGAAACUACAAACCUUGGGUGUAGGAGGGGAGAAUGGAACUUCUGGUGGAGCGGUGAAAUGCGUAGAUAUCAGAAGGAACGCCGGCGGCGAAAGCGAUUCUCUGGCCUAUUACUGACACUCAGUGUGCGAAAGCUAGGGGAGCAAACGGGAUUAGAUACCCCGGUAGUCCUAACCGUAAACGAUGGGCACUAAGUAGAGGGG
rnacentral:rRNA from 1 species